GAAGUUCGCCAGGCAGUCGCUGCGCACCUCGUCGUGCGUGGAGGAAAGUCCGGGCCCCAUAGAGCAGGAUGCCGGCUAACGGCCGGGCGCCGCGAGGCGACGGAAAGUGCAACAGAGAGCAGACCGCCGAUGGCCUUCGCAAGAGGGAUCAGGUAAGGGUGAAACGGUGGGGUAAGAGCCCACCGCGGACGUGGUGACACGGACGGCACGGUAAACCCCAUCCGGGGCAAGGCCAAAUAGGGGAGUAAUGGCGUGGCUCGCGUCGCUCCCGGGUAGGCUGCUAGAGCUUCACGGUAACGUGUCGCCCAGAGGAAUGACUGCCCGACGGCAUCGGCUCGCGCCGGCGUCGUUCGACAGAACCCGGCUUAUCGGCGAACUUCCCCA
rnacentral:RNase_P_RNA from 1 species